GACAGCAGCAGCCGCGGUAAUACGGAGGGUGCAAGCGUUAAUCGGAAUUACUGGGCGUAAAGCGCACGCAGGCGGUCUGACAAGUCAGAUGUAAAAUCCCCGGGCUUAACCUGGGAACUGCAUUUGAAACUGUCAGGCUGGAGUCUUGUAGAGGGGGGUAGAAUUCCAGGUGUAGCGGUGAAAUGCGUAGAGAUCUGGAGGAAUACCGGUGGCGAAGGCGGCCCCCUGGACAAAGACUGACGCUCAGGUGCGAAAGCGUGGGGAGCAAACAGGAUUAGAUACCCCGGUAGUCCCUGUCUCUUAUAC
rnacentral:rRNA from 1 species